ensembl:lncRNA
UGUAAAUAGCAGACUGUAUAACUCGCUUGCUUUUUAACGAAUUUGUAAAUAGCCGAUUCUGUAGUGGACAGAGUGUAAUUCUCUUUUUAAACCAUCUUUAGAAAAAGAAUUCAUCGCAAUAAUGAUUAGAAAAUUAUAAAAAAAAACACACACACACACAUAGAAAAGAUUUGAUAAAUGUAGAUGUACAUGAACUUCUAUGGAUUUAAUAACAUGGGCAUGUUAUCAGUUACCAGUCACUGGACCUAUGCGCCCAUGAUUCUCGGGAAUGUGGCACACCCUCUCAGUGCAUCUCAGCCGCUGCUCUUUCCCAAGCCAUGCCCUGCAUAAUCACUGUGCAGUCGUAGACCAUGGUACCCUCUAGACUGUUUUAUUUUUUCCACAGAAGCGUAUUUUAUUUUUGAUUUAUGUGACUACUGAAAAAAAUGAGAAUAUUGAGAAGUAUUUAAAUGUUUCUCCAUUCAUUUUAGAGCAGACGUCUUUAUGAAUGAUAUAAUGAAAUCCAAUCGGACGAGAAACGAACCUAACUUAACUGUGCAAACGUGUAUAGAAAUAGAAUAGAAAGUGUUCAGAACACCGACCGCCUCUGAAGACACUGUUUGUAUGUUGAGAGCCAUGGUCAGAGUCCAGCUUUGGCCUUUUUUAUGAAAAACACUGUGUAACCUCAUUCAGGCCUUCAGCAUGUUCUCCAGAAAACUGUAGCAAUGGAAAUCUGGACAAAAGUACAGUACGUGGACAAUUUCAAAGCUUCAGGACACCAUACUGAUCAGUCUUUCUCUGCCCAGUUCUGUUUAACUUGCAUUUGAUCGGAAAGUGCAAUUUAUGGUCCCUCCUGUUCCGACGACCCCACGUCUUGUUAAAUACACACGCACUUUUACUCAAGCACACAAUAUGUUUGUCUCUCAUUGUAUUUUUUCCUCUCUAUCCUCUAUGCCUUCUCUCAUUCUGUCUCAAAAACACACAUGCGCACACUAUGAUCCUGAUGCAUAUUCAGAUCAGUGUGUUUGGAGAGUGGCAUUAGGUUUUUUCCCCAUGGUUUCUAAUGCUGUGAUGAAAGUGGUGUCCUUACUAGAUUAAUAUGUUAAAAUUGUAAAUAUUUAUUUUGAUCAUUUUUUAGUAAAAUGUUAAUGGAUAUGAAAUUGCUCCUCUGUGUCUUUAUUUGGUUAGUGUUAUUUGAACUACAAAAAUCAGAACUCAGAACUUGUGUCCAGGUUUUUUUUUUUUUUUUUUUUUGAAGAAUGUUGAUAACCAUUUGCUUCCAUUGUUUAAAAAAAUCCCCGGUAAAUUUUAUAAUCCACAGACUUUUAGCUGUUUCCUGAUAAUGUAACAUACUUGCACACAUAACAACGUGUAAAAUCAUGCUGCAUUCGUGUAUCACCUAUUGAUUUUUUUGUGUGUGUUUGUGUGUGUAAAUAUAAUUGUGCUGUCUCUGCCAAGUAAAAAUGACUAUUUU